rnacentral:rRNA from 1 species
UACAGAGGAGCCAAGCGUUGUCCGGAUUGACUGGGCGUAAAGCGCACGCAGGCGGACGCGCGCGUGGGGUGUGAAAUCUGGCCGCUUAACGGCCAGGCGCCAUCCCAUACGGCGCGUCUGGAGUGAUGCAGAGGUCGAUGGAAUUGCCGGUGUAGUGGUGAAAUGCGUAGAGAUCGGCAGGAACAGCCCAGGGGGAAACCAGUCGACUGGGCAUCUACUGACGCUGAGGUGCGAGAGCGUGGGGAGCGAACCGG